AGAGUUUGAUCCUGGCUCAGGAUGAACGCUGGCGGCGUGCUUAACACAUGCAAGUCGAGCGAAGCACCUUGACGGAUUUCUUCGGAUUGAAGCCUUGGUGACUGAGCGGCGGACGGGUGAGUAACGCGUGGGUAACCUGCCUCAUACAGGGGGAUAACAGUUGGAAACGGCUGCUAAUACCGCAUAAGCGCACAGUACCGCAUGGUACGGUGUGAAAAACUCCGGUGGUAUGAGAUGGACCCGCGUCUGAUUAGGUAGUUGGUGGGGUAACGGCCUACCAAGCCGACGAUCAGUAGCCGACCUGAGAGGGUGACCGGCCACAUUGGGACUGAGACACGGCCCAAACUCCUACGGGAGGCAGCAGUGGGGAAUAUUGCACAAUGGGGGAAACCCUGAUGCAGCGACGCCGCGUGAGCGAUGAAGUAUUUCGGUAUGUAAAGCUCUAUCAGCAGGGAAGAAAAUGACGGUACCUGACUAAGAAGCCCCGGCUAACUACGUGCCAGCAGCCGCGGUAAUACGUAGGGGGCAAGCGUUAUCCGGAUUUACUGGGUGUAAAGGGAGCGUAGACGGCAUGGCAAGCCAGAUGUGAAAGCCCGGGGCUCAACCCCGGGACUGCAUUUGGAACUGUCAGGCUAGAGUGUCGGAGAGGAAAGCGGAAUUCCUAGUGUAGCGGUGAAAUGCGUAGAUAUUAGGAGGAACACCAGUGGCGAAGGCGGCUUUCUGGACGAUGACUGACGUUGAGGCUCGAAAGCGUGGGGAGCAAACAGGAUUAGAUACCCUGGUAGUCCACGCCGUAAACGAUGUCGACUUGGAGGUUGUGCCCUUGAGGCGUGGCUUCCGGAGCUAACGCGUUAAGUCGACCGCCUGGGGAGUACGGCCGCAAGGUUAAAACUCAAAUGAAUUGACGGGGGCCCGCACAAGCGGUGGAGCAUGUGGUUUAAUUCGAUGCAACGCGAAGAACCUUACCUGGUCUUGACAUCCACGGAAGUUUUCAGAGAUGAGAAUGUGCCUUCGGGAACCGUGAGACAGGUGCUGCAUGGCUGUCGUCAGCUCGUGUUGUGAAAUGUUGGGUUAAGUCCCGCAACGAGCGCAACCCUUAUCCUUUGUUGCCAGCGGUCCGGCCGGGAACUCAAAGGAGACUGCCAGUGAUAAACUGGAGGAAGGUGGGGAUGACGUCAAGUCAUCAUGGCCCUUACGACCAGGGCUACACACGUGCUACAAUGGCGCAUACAAAGAGAAGCGACCUCGCGAGAGCAAGCGGACCUCAUAAAGUGCGUCGUAGUCCGGAUUGGAGUCUGCAACUCGACUCCAUGAAGUCGGAAUCGCUAGUAAUCGUGGAUCAGAAUGCCACGGUGAAUACGUUCCCGGGCCUUGUACACACCGCCCGUCACACCAUGGGAGUGGGUUGCAAAAGAAGUAGGUAGCUUAACCUUCGGGAGGGCGCUUACCACUUUGUGAUUCAUGACUGGGGUGAAGUCGUAACAAGGUAACCGUAGGGGAACCUGCGGUUG
rnacentral:rRNA from 1 species